ANNAAAAGUCGUAACAAGGUCUCCGUUGGUGAACCAGCGGAGGGAUCAUUACCGAGUUUACAACUCCCAAACCCCUGUGAACAUACCACUUGUUGCCUCGGCGGAUCAGCCCGCUCCCGGUAAAACGGGACGGCCCGCCAGAGGACCCCUAAACUCUGUUUCUAUAUGUAACUUCUGAGUAAAACCAUAAAUAAAUCAAAACUUUCAACAACGGAUCUCUUGGUUCUGGCAUCGAUGAAGAACGCAGCAAAAUGCGAUAAGUAAUGUGAAUUGCAGAAUUCAGUGAAUCAUCGAAUCUUUGAACGCACAUUGCGCCCGCCAGUAUUCUGGCGGGCAUGCCUGUUCGAGCGUCAUUUCAACCCUCAAGCACAGCUUGGUGUUGGGACUCGCGUUAAUUCGCGUUCCUCAAAUUGAUUGGCGGUCACGUCGAGCUUCCAUAGCGUAGUAGUAAAACCCUCGUUACUGGUAAUCGUCGCGGCCACGCCGUUAAACCCCAACUUCUGAAUGUUGACCUCGGAUCAGGUAGGAAUACCCGCUGAACUUA
rnacentral:rRNA from 1 species